GGUUUGAGUAAAAAGAGUGACGAAUGGAGAACUAGGGUGCACUAAAGAGGACGGAGCCCCCCGAAAUGGCGGAGGAGAGACUUUGAAGCCCUAAUGUCCCGCGCGGCAACGCAGCGGGGGGGCCAGGGGAGCGAAACAUCCCAGUACCAGGCCCCCCACCCCCCCCCUCCCCGCCCCAUAGUGGGUGUUUAGGGGGGGGGCACAGAAAAAAUCAAACGAGAUUCCGCCAGUAGCGGCGAGCGAAAGCGGACGAGCCCUUUCCUGUAGGCGAGUAGUGAUGGGAAGAUGGGUGUCCACACAUCCAAGGCUUAAUAAUUAGUGUCACACCGAAAGAGAGGAGUACUGUAAAGGAAAGUUGAAAGAGACUUGAAAAGACCUUGAAAUGAGUCACUUAAAGCAGUUGUAACACAACGUACCUUUUGCAUAAUGGGUCCACGAGAUAAAAUUUGGCAAACUUAAAGUGCAAUCUCGCAGCCGCCCCGCGAGGGAUGGCUGGGGGGAUUGUUCUUGGCCCCCUAAGGUGUAGUGAAAGCAAGGUGCCGCUAUAACGGCCCCCCUCAGUCAAAUUUCCCGAAACCAAGUGAUCUAGCCAUGGGCAGUUUUUAGGAACGAACCGGUGGUUGUUGCAAAAACCUCGGACGACCUGUGGUUAGGGGCGAAACGCCAAUCGAACUUGGAGAUAGCUGGUUUUCUGCGAAAACUAUUGAAGUAGUGCGUCCACAGUUCAAGGAAUAAUUAAGAUUAUCCGAUGAAAAUGGCUUGGAAUGCGGUAAAGCCCGACCCCCCGAAGUCGGGGGAUUAACUAUGAAGAAAAAAAGCCAGAGUGGGACAGACAGACUGUGGGCGAUAAGGUCGACGGUCAAAAGGGGAGAAGCCCUAACCAGAAGUUAAAGUCAUUAAUAAAAGUGGCGGGGGGGCCGAAGGCCCCCCCCCCGAUUUAGUGUAAAAGAGAUAUUGGGUUUAGACAAUGAAGAAGUAGGCUUGGAGCCAGCCACCUUUGAGAGAUGACGUAGCAGUUCACUCAAGAAAUUCUUUUAUCUCUAAAAUUAUGGUGGCUAAAGUUGAACUGAAACUCUGGGGGCGAAAUAUAUUGAGCUUAAUUGGAGUUAAAUAAGGCUUCAAUUAGUUCAAAUUAGUUUUAAUUUGCCCGGUAGCAGAACGUACUGUUAAUUGUUCAGUGAGAGCCCCGCACGGCAUCAGAAGUGAUAAUGUGGACAUGAGUAAAAAAUCAUAGGAUCACUCCCCCCCUGGUUUCCCAUAUUAGUUAUGGGGUUAAACAGCCCCUAAAAUCGCAGCCCCAAAGGUUGCGUUGAUGGGGGCCCUGAGUAAUAGACGCACAAAGUGCCAGGAAAGAAUUAUUCAAGCAUUAUUCAAGCCGGGGAACCGGCCAAAGGGCACUGUACUAAACUAACUAAAGUGGGGGAUAGUGAGGGGAUAAAUUUCCUUAAGGAACUCGGCAAAAUCCCAAUGGCCCACCAGGGCAUACUCCCCACCCCCGCCUUAGGCGGGGGGUGGGCAGUAUUGGAACACGGGCCUCGACUGUUUACCAAAAACAUAGCCCUCGGCCAAUAUGAAAAUAGAUGUAUAGAGGGUGAGGCCUGCCCAAUGGUUGUAUCUAAAAGCGGUUGAUAAAAGUCGACCUCGUAAGGACAAUUGAAUGGCCGCGGUAACACUGACCGUGAUAAUGUAGCGUAAUCAAUAGCCAAUUAAUUGUUGGCCAGUAUGAAUGGUGCCACGAAGGCCCCACUGUCUUAAGGAAAUUCCCAGUGAAAUUGAAUUCGUAGUGAAGAUGCUACGUCCAAUUUGUUAGACGAAAAGACCCCGUUGAGCUUUACUGGGGCACUUACACGGCCCCGGCCUUCCAAACUAGGCUUACCAUGCCUAGGGGUCGGCCGAAUUUAAAUGGGUGGCUUAGAUUAUGUGGCAGCCCCCCGUCGGGGCAGAUGAAACCCCACUCCCCCAUGUCAAAGGGGCUAACCCCCCCCCCUUGGGGGGGGGACAGUGUAAGUAGGACAGUUUGGUUGGGGCGACCGCCUUUUAAAGAGUAACGAAGGUGCGCUUAAGGUGCGCAAAUAAUGACUGAAGCCUGACUGCGAGGGGGACACCCCGAGCAGACACCCCCAAGCCUGCCCUAAGGGCGGCGGUGGGGUGGGCCAUAGUGACCCGUUAAUUUAGAGUGGAAUAGUUAACGAUCAACGAAUAAAAGUUACCACGGGGAUAACAGCGUAAUAUCGUUAGAGAGUUCACAUCGACGACGAUGUUUGCGACCUCGAUGUUGAAUUGCGGCAUCCUGGGGUGCAGCCGCUCCCAAGGGUUGGUCUGUUCGUCCAUUAAAGCCGUACAUGAUUUGAGUUAAAAGCGUGGUAACACAGCUUGGUUUCUAUCUACAAAUUGAAGAAACAUCGAUAUAACUAUCUUCUAGUACGAAAGGACCGAAGGAUUAGUGAUCCUCUUAUUUUUUAUAAGUUACGAUCAACCCAUUGACCUCCAGGCACCGUCGCCCCCGAGGGGCGAGGGUUGCAAGAGGGGUCUUUCAGCUAAUCACUGACCGCUUCUAAAGUGGGAAAGUCAUAUCGAAAUGUUUGGGCCCAUUAUAGGGGGGCUAAACCUCACCAUCACGAGUCCGCUAUAGCGGCCUCCUAAGGAGGGGAUGGUGGCCAGCCCUCGGGCUGGGAUAAAUCAUUAUGG
rnacentral:rRNA from 1 species